rnacentral:rRNA from 1 species
GCAGCACAGUGUAGCAAUACAUGGGGUGGCGACCGGCAAACGGGCGCGGAACACGUACGNNNNNNUCCUUUAACUGGAGAAUAGCCCGGGGAAACCCGGAUUAAUACUCCGUAACAUUAUGAAGUGGCAUCACUUUAUAAUUAUAGCUCCGGCGGUUGAAGAUGGGCGUGCGCCUGAUUAGGUAGUUGGCGGGGUAACGGCCCACCAAGCCUACGAUCAGUAACUGGUGUGAGAGCACGACCAGUCACACGGGCACUGAGACACGGGCCCGACUCCUACGGGAGGCAG